AGCCAGCAGCCGCGGUAAUACGUAGGGGGCGAGCGUUGUCCGAAGUUACUGGGCGUAAAGCGCGCGUAGGCGGUUUCUUAAGUGGCCGGUGAAACCCCCGGGCUCAACUCGGGGCAGUCUGGUCAUACUGGGAAGCUGGAGUAUGGGAGGGGAGAGCGGAACUCCUGGUGUAGCGGUGAUAUGCGUAGAGAUCAGGAAGAACACCCGUGGCGAAGGCGGCUCUCUGGACCAUUACUGACGCUGAGGCGCGAAAGCCAGGGGAGCGAACGGGAUUAGAUACCCCGGUAGUCCUGGCCCUAAACGAUGGAUACUAGGUGUGGGGGGUAUCGACCCCUCCCGCGCCGCAGCUAACGCAUUAAGUAUCCCGCCUGGGGAGUACGGCCGCAAGGUUGAAACUCAAAGGAAUUGACGGGGGCCCGCACA
rnacentral:rRNA from 1 species